CCUACGGGGAGCAGCAGUGGGGAAUAUUGCACAAUGGGGGAAACCCUGAUGCAGCAACGCCGCGUGAAUGAAGAAGUUUUUCGGAUUGUAAACCUCUAUCAAUAGGGAAGAAAGUAAUGACGGUACCUAAAUAAGAAGCGCCGGCUAACUACGUGCCAGCAGCCGCGGUAAUACGUAGGGGGCAAGCGUUAUCCGGAAUUACUGGGUGUAAAGGGAGCGUAGGCGGCAAGGUAAGCUAGAUGUGAAAGCCUUAAGCUUAACUUAAGGAUGGCAUAACGAACUAUCUAGCUAGAGUGCAGGAGAGGUAAGCGGAAUUCCUAGUGUAGCGGUGAAAUGCGUAGAUAUUAGGAAGAACACCAGUGGCGAAGGCGGCUUACUGGACUGAAACUGACGUUGAGGCUCGAAAGCGUGGGGAGCGAACAGGAUUAGAUACCCUGGUAGUC
rnacentral:rRNA from 1 species